GCGAAAGAAGGAGAAGGAGAAGGAGAACGCGAGAAGAAGAAGGCAGACAAGAAGAAAGAGGAAGAAAAAAAUUUAGCCGUUCGAUUUCGAUUCUGACUUCGGUGUACGUUGGAGAAGAUUUGGGUGAGAUUGCAAAAGCUAGGGAGUGUCGAUAAGAGGUAUGCAUGGCACAUCCGAGACAGGGACGUCUCGGGAUAUAGAAAGACGGGCUAAGUGAGGAAACCUACAUCUAUUGUAUUAUAUGUAAAGUUUUAACCUGAAAAACCUCUUGUUUAGGAGCGUGUUUGUAAAUAUUCAUAAAUAAGAUUUUGUUAUAUAAUAAUGCAUUUUUAUGGUUAAUUUUAGCCUUAACACUGUAUUGUGGGCCCGAAAUAGGAGGUGACAACCUCAUGAUGCAGUGUGGCGGUAGCAUUUCCAGUAUGAGCCAACUGGAGGUAUUAUAAAUUUACUUCACAAAUGUCAUUGUAUUUGUAUUAUAAGAGACUAAUAAACUUAUCUUUUUCCUUUUCUCUUGAUU